AUGGAGGAGGAGGCCGGCCAGGACGAGAUGGAGCAGGAGGCCGGCCAGGAGGAGGCCAUGUUGUCAGGGCACAACGAGGAUGAUCAGGUGGACGUGGACGCCAUGCUGUAUUGCCAUGAAGCAUUUCUGUCACAGAGGGAGGAAGAGGAGGAGGAGCCUGAAGAAGUCCAGGCCAUGUGCGUGCGAUGCGACUCCCUGGAGAGGUUGGUGACGCUCUUACCGUGCAGGCACGCCUCCUACUGCGAACGCUGCUUCGCCAUCGUCGACCGCCGCCAGGGAGCAGGGCGGCUGUGCGCGGUUUGCUGGCAGCCCUAUGCGCGGGGGCACCCUCAGUCCGGAGGUCUGCAGCCCAAGCCGAAGAAGAGCUCCAAGUAA
rnacentral:rRNA from 1 species